rnacentral:rRNA from 1 species
UACAAAGGGUGCAAGCGUUGUUCGGAAUUAUUGGGCGUAAAGCGCGUGUAGGCGGCUUUGCAAGUCGGGUGUGAAAGCCCUCAGCUCAACUGAGGAAGUGCGCCCGAAACUGCAGAGCUUGAGUGCCGGAGAGGGUGGCGGAAUUCCCCAAGUAGAGGUGAAAUUCGUAGAUAUGGGGAGGAACACCGGUGGCGAAGGCGGCCACCUGGACGGUAACUGACGCUGAGACGCGAAAGCGUGGGGAGCAAACGGG